GGCGGGGUCAGCAGAGCUUAUUAGCAUUUAAAGCUACAUGGACUAAAAACAGCUCACUGAAAACAGAGCUGAUUUUGACAGCGUGAAAGAGAUCACAUAAGGAGUUUUGCUAACACUAUACCACCACCACAAGCAUUUGCUGAUGGUAGUUCUGGUGUGGGUGUUAGGAGGCAAGAAGCGUCAUCCAGAUCUCGGCGGGUAGACCAGAAUGUGACUGCUGCUGUGCGGGUUCAAGCUCGUGCACAAAAGACUGCAAGACCCCACGACCUCAGUGUGAUACCUAACACCCCUGAGCGAAAACGUCCAAGACAAUCAACUGGAUGGGACGACUACGAUAUGAACAGCGUGUCUAAUGUGGAUCAAGAGAAGGAUUUAAAUCAAGCCCCAGAGGCCGUUGAAAACAUUGCAGAUUCAGACGGUGAUGCUGACACACUCCCUUCAAACCAAGAGGAAUACAAGAACCAACUGCAGAACAACGCAAACAAGGAAAUUUUGAACUUUCUGAACCCAUUCGUCAAGAACCAGAAAAGAAUUAUAGAGGACCAUCAGAGGGCCCGGGAGGAGCAAGCACGUUUUAAUCAGACUGUGACAACAACACUACAGAAACACGGGAUCAUCCUUAAACAAAUAAUUGCAUUGCAAAAACGUCAUGAUUGUGGACAUGAACAAACAGCCCGUGAUCAGGAAAUGACUGUAACUCUUUUAAAUGAACUGCUGGGGUGAGUCCCAUUUUCUUUACCCGGUUUUCCCUAAGCGUGUAUUGUUUUAGUCACAAGUGUGGUUUUAUGAUUAGAUGUUUUAUUCUACCUUUGCUCACGGGUUGUAUGCUGUGAAUAUUUUGAAAAAUUAGAGUUAGAAAUGGCUGAAAAAUGUUGGUGGGAGUUGAUGGUGAACAAGGUCCACCGUUAAAAUGUAGCAUGGGUGAUCAUAGCAGUUUCCAACCUCAAAACACUGUUGAUGAGAUGAAACAAACAAGUCCGCUAGAUUGUUAAAAUUAAUAAACGAAGUGCAAUCAAGGUCAGAACCUCCUCCAGAACCAGUUUUUGAACAAUUUGUAAAUUCUCAACAGACAGGUGAAGGAGUAGCUACCCAGUCACACCACACACUCAACCUUACAGACUCAAGCACGGGUCUCACACACAGUGAAAUAGAAUCACUUGUAAGAGAGGGUGGUGAUGUGGUUGGAUACACCGUAGUGCCUCGAGCCCAGUUCAAUGGCUUGGAAAUUCACAGGAUUUUAAAUCUCAGGGAAAUAAAACGUUCUCCAGAUUAUUAGGUGAAGACGGUAGUUUAAUUAACAUCAACUGUACCACAAGGUAGCGGAAGGUGAGGUCAUACAAUAUUUAGAUUUCACGACUCUUUACUCGUUUUGUCAGGCUACAAAGUGUUUCCCAAUCGUGCACCCACAAAUAUAUUUCAAAGAUUUUGAUAAUCUUAAAUUAUGGAUUUGUCAAGGCUACGGUGCUACCACCCCGAAAACUCCAUCCAUCGCGUGGGGGGGGAAACUGAGGUUCCCCCUUUGUAGGUUGUGUGCAAAACAACAGAACCAGACACCGCCGUGUAUGCACACCAAUGAGGAAAGAGCCAUCUGUGGUUGUUGGGUAAGCAUCAAGUUGUUAAAAGCUAUUGAAAAAGACUAUAUUGUAGUAAAUGUGGAUGAGGUCUGGCAUUUUCCCCAGCGAUCAGAAACACUGUUCUGGGAUUACGUUAAAACAAAACAAAGUGAAAGGCAUAACACUUAAUGUUUUAAACUCCAAAGCCAUUACAUUAUAUUCGCUGAUUGGGCUUGUAGAUCAUUAUGUGAGGGGGCGGGAUGAUAGCCGACAUAUACAUGCACACAAUGCUAUUGUGAGAAAUAAAAAGGAUUUGACGUUAUGUAAUAAAUCAUUUGUAAAGAAAUUCAAAGUUGUGUAUGACAAGCGUGUAUUGCUCCCUGACUUUACCACAGUUCCAUAUGGCUUCUGACAACAUUUUUGGUGGGGGUG